UACGUAGGGUCCAAGCGUUAUCCGGAAUCACUGGGCGUAAAGGGCGCGUAGGCGGUGCGGUAAGUCACCUGUGAAAUCUCCUGGCUCAACUGGGAGCUUGCAGGCGAAACUGCCGUGCUGGAGUGUGGGAGAGGUGCGUGGAAUUCCCGGUGUAGCGGUGAAAUGCGCAGAUAUCAGGAGGAACACCAAUAGCGAAGGCAGCUCGCUGGGACGGUACUGACGCUAAGGCGCGAAAGCUAGGGGAGCGAACGGG
rnacentral:rRNA from 1 species